UUCAGAUUGAAUGUCAGCGCUGCAGGUGGUUCCAUGUGACGCACCUUCCCGUGUCAGAGAAGCAGUUCACCACGGCUCAAAAGGGUGACUGGAAAUGCUGCCUGUGAUGCGCCAAAUGUUUUCAAUUGGUGAAAGGUCGGGACUGCAGGCAGACCGGUUCAGCACCCGGACUUUCAUGCUGUUGUAAUUGAUGCAAAUUGAUGAUACCUUUCCAGAUUCGUGGAUGGCACGGCGAACUGUGUUCACAGACGAUGAGUUCUGGAGGUGUUUCUGAGCCCAUUUCCAGUACAGAAUCAGGCCUGUUUUUAAUGCAGUGCCGCCUGAGGGACGAAGAUCACGGGCAUGCAGUACUGAUUUUCACCCUCGUC